rnacentral:rRNA from 1 species
AACGCUAGCUACAGGCUUAACACAUGCAAGUCGAGGGGCAUCAGGGUGUAGCAAUACACCGCUGGCGACCGGCGCACGGGUGAGUAACACGUAUCCAACCUGCCCUUUACUCGGGGAUAGCCUUUCGAAAGAAAGAUUAAUACCCGAUGGCAUAACAUGACCUCCUGGUUUUGUUAUUAAAGAAUUUCGGUAGAGGAUGGGGAUGCGUUCCAUUAGGCAGUUGGCGGGGUAACGGCCCACCAAACCUUCGAUGGAUAGGGGUUCUGAGAGGAAGGUCCCCCACAUUGGAACUGAGACACGGUCCAAACUCCUACGGGAGGCAGCAGUGAGGAAUAUUGGUCAAUGGGCGAGAGCCUGAACCAGCCAAGUAGCGUGAAGGAUGACCGCCCUAUGGGUUGUAAACUUCUUUUAUAUGGGAAUAAAGUUUGCCACGUGUGGCAUUUUGUAUGUACCAUAUGAAUAAGGAUCGGCUAACUCCGUGCCAGCAGCCGCGGUAAUACGGAGGAUCCGAGCGUUAUCCGGAUUUAUUGGGUUUAAAGGGAGCGUAGGUGGACAUGUAAGUCAGUUGUGAAAGUUUGCGGCUCAACCGUAAAAUUGCAGUUGAUACUGCGUGUCUUGAGUACAGUAGAGGUGGGCGGAAUUCGUGGUGUAGCGGUGAAAUGCUUAGAUAUCACGAAGAACUCCGAUUG